rnacentral:rRNA from 1 species
GACGAACGCUGGCGGCGUGCCUAAUACAUGCAAGUUGAGCGCUGAAGUGUGGUACUUGUACCAACUGGGUGAGCAGCGAACGGGUGAGUAACGCGUGGGGAAUCUGCCUUUGAGCGGGGGACAACAUUUGGAAACGAAUGCUAAUACCGCAUAAAAACUUUAAACACAAGUUUUAAGUUUGAAAGAUGCAAUUGCAUCACUCAAAGAUUAUCCCGCGUUGUAUUAACUAGUUGGGGAGGUUAAGGCCCAACCAGGCGAUGAUACAUAGCCGACCUGAGAGGGUGAUCGGCCAAAAUGGGACGUGGACACGGCCCAAAAUUCCACGGGGGGCAGCAGUAGGGGAUUCUCGGCAAUUGACGAAAGUCUGACCGAGCAAAGCCGCGUGAGUGAAGAAGGUUUUCGGAUUGUAAAACUCUGUUGGUAGAGAAGAACGUUGGUGGGAGUGGAAAGCGCAUCAAGUGACGGUAACUACUCAGAAAGGGACGGCUAACUACGUG